UACGGGGGGAGCAAGCGUUGUUCGGAUUUACUGGCGUAAAGGGCGCGUAGGCGGUCAGUGGCAAGUCAGUUGUGAAAUCUACCGGGCUUAACUCGGAAAGGUCAACUGAUACUUGCUCGACUAGAGUGCGGAAGGGGCAACUGGAAUUCUUGGUGUAGCGGUGAAAUGCGUAGAUAUCAAGAGGAACACCUGCGGCGAAGGCGGGUUGCUGGGCCGACACUGACGUUGAAGUGCGAAAGCCAGGGGAGGCGAACGGG
rnacentral:rRNA from 1 species